rnacentral:rRNA from 1 species
CCUACGGGAGGCAGCAGUGAGGAAUAUUGGUCAAUGGACGCAAGUCUGAACCAGCCAAGCCGCGUGCAGGAAGACGGCUCUAUGAGUUGUAAACUGCUUUUGUACGAGAGUAAACGCAGAUACGUGUAUCUGUCUGAAAGUAUCGUACGAAUAAGGAUCGGCUAACUCCGUGCCAGCAGCCGCGGUAAUACGGAGGAUUCAAGCGUUAUCCGGAUUUAUUGGGUUUAAAGGGUGCGUAGGCGGGCGGAUAAGUUAGUUGUGAAAUCUCGAGGCUCAACUUCGGAAUUGCCUCUGAUACUGUCCGGCUAGAGAGUAGUUGCGGUAGGCGGAAUGUAUGGUGUAGCGGUGAAAUGCUUAGAGAUCAUACAGAACUCCGAUUGCGAAGGCAGCUUACCAAGCUACUUCUGACGUUGAGGCACGAAAGCGUGGGGAGCAAACAGGAUUAGAUACCCUGGUAGUC